rnacentral:rRNA from 1 species
AUACGAAGGGUGCAAGCGUUACUCGGAAUUACUGGGCGUAAAGCGUGCGUAGGUGGUUCGUUAAGUCUGAUGUGAAAGCCCUGGGCUCAACCUGGGAAUUGCAUUGGAUACUGGCGGGCUGGAGUGCGGUAGAGGAUGGCGGAAUUCCCGGUGUAGCAGUGAAAUGCGUAGAGAUCGGGAGGAACAUCCGUGGCGAAGGCGGCCAUCUGGACCAGCACUGACACUGAGGCACGAAAGCGUGGGGAGCAAACAGGAUUAGAUACCCUGGUAGUCCACGCCCUAAACGAUGCGAACUGGAUGUUGGGAGCAAUCAGGCUCUCAGUAUCGAAGCUAACGCGUUAAGUUCGCCGCCUGGGGAGUACGGUCGCAAGACUGAA